ensembl:lncRNA LINC03048 long intergenic non-protein coding RNA 3048
GCUGCAGACACUGGGGGAGGGAGAGGGUGGCCCUGAUCCCGAUGACUCUGAAACAUGCUUGGCCUUCCCCAGAGAUUCCUGCUCCCAGCCCAGGCCCAGACGGCAACAGAAGCUCAUGGGGAGUGAAGGGACAGGAUGGAGCGGGAGCGGCGCCAAAGCACGGGGAGAACCAGAGGCCGCAGGAAUGGCAGACUCUGGACAUGCUCCUAGAGAUGGGAGGUCAAAAUGAUCAACGUUCAGGGUCCCUUCAUCUCAGAGGGUCUCGAGUCACCUCAUUUAAAGUGUGGCCUGGGACACCUCCUAUCCAGCCAUACGCCGCCCAGGACUGGCUCAACAGCUCCACCCUCCACUGCUGUUCACCCAUGACACGUCACUUCCCACCCGCCACUGCUGGCUCACCUGUGACACCCCAGGCAGCUCAGAUGCCCGGCAGGUCCUGCUGGUAAGAGGGAGGCAGGAACUUGUCCUGUCUGGGACCCGGGCAUUGCUGGGCGCCGGAGGGACCUGGGACCUCAACCACGCUGGGAGCUGGCCUGUCGUACAGGCGGUGCCUGGCAGAUGUGGAC